AACGAACGCUGGCGGCGUGCCUAACACAUGCAAGUCGAGCGAGAAAGUCCCGGUAACGGGAUGAGUAAAGCGGCAAACGGGUGAGUAACGCGUGGGUAAUCUACCCUACGGAUCGGGAUAACCUGCCGAAAGGUGGACUAAUACCGGAUGAUGUUUUGCGGUGAUUCCGUGAGAACCAAAGGGGGCGAGCGUAAGCAGCUCUCACCGAAGGAGGAGCCUGCGUCCGAUUAGCUAGUUGGUGAGGUAAUGGCUCACCAAGGCUAAGACGGGUAGCUGGUCUGAGAGGAUGGUCAGCCACACUGGAACUGAGACACUGUCCAGACACCUACGGGAGGCAG
rnacentral:rRNA from 1 species